GAUGAACGCUAGCGACAGGCCUAACACAUGCAAGUCGAGGGGCAACGGGGCGUAGCAAUACGCUGCCGGCGACCGGCGGAUGGGUGAGUAACGCGUAUGCAACCUGCCUUCAGCAGGGGGAUAGCCCGUUGAAAGACGGAUUAAUACCCCAUAACACAGGGGCUCCGCAUGGAGAUUAUUGUUAAAGGGAUGCUUCCUUCGGGGGUAUUCCGGCUGAAGAUGGGCAUGCGUUCCAUUAGGUAGUUGGUUGAGGUAACGGCUCACCAAGCCUGCGAUGGAUAGGGGAACUGAGAGGUUGGUCCCCCACACUGGUACUGAGACACGGACCAGACUCCUACGGGAGGCAGCAGUGAGGAAUCUUGGUCAAUGGACGGAAGUCUGAACCAGCCAUGUCGCGUGAAGGAGGACGGCCCUAAGGGUUGUAAACUUCUUUUGCAGCGGAAUAAAGUAUUCCACGUGAUGGGAUAUUGCAAGUACGCUGCGAAUAAGGAUCGGCUAACUCCGUG
rnacentral:rRNA from 1 species